UGUAUAUUUAGAUGAGUGUUGUUUGUAAUCUGUUCAACAUUUAUAUAUCUCAUUUUAACAAGCUUAAAUAAACUUCAGCAGAGCCUCGGGUAGAACGCAACAAUUGUAAGCAUGAAAGCCAAAAUGAAAUUUAAUGCUGACUUGGCGAAAUUAUAAAAUAGAAGUCAGCUUGCCAAAUGUAAUUAAAUUGAACAACACAUGCGUUCCGAAAAAUAUCAAUUUCGUUUAAGAUUUCGGCAAUUGCUAAUCAAAUUACCUAAGAAGCAGGCAACUGCCUGAAAAUUAUUAUGUCGUCGGGAAGGUAAAGAAAAUAUACCUACUAUAUUAUGAUUAUCUGUGCGUGCAUGUGCAUGCAUCCAAAUUACCAAAACUAAUACAAAUAUAAUAACAAUUACGCCGAAGAAGCGACGACUAAUAUGGAGGAGGCACGGCAGGUGGGCUUUGUUAAGAGGUAGAUGCAUGCAUGCUGAGGUGGUGCAAAUUGCUUUUCAUUGUUUGCUUGAGUGCAGCGAACAGAUUUCUGCAGCGUCAUUAAAAUGAAACUGGGGUGGCGGCAUAAGGAACGCAAAUAAUCAUUUAAUUGCAGCUGGAUUCUCAGCUCUAUUUCCCCAAUGCAAACCCAAAGUAAGCCAGCAAAACGUGGCCCCUAGUAGCAACAACUUGGCAAGGAAUUGAAAGCACUUGAAUACAUUUUGGUUAUGUAAGAUUUAUAGUCGAAUGACACUGGCUGAAAUCAAGCAUAUGCAUUAUCUUGGCUUGAGUCUUCGCAUUAAGAAUUUAUUGUUUAAUUAUGAAAAUAUUUUCCAACCAAAUUUCAACCUAAUACCGCUUCUUGAUCACACGACCAUUUUUUUCGAUUCGUUUGAAC